rfam:Trichodesmium erythraeum IMS101, complete genome.
UAGUAGAUGCACCCUGAUAGUUAUCGUCUCUUAACUGAAAUUUGUUGAGGGACUUUUUUU